CGCCGCGUGAUGAAGAAGGUUUUCGGAUCGUAAACUCUGUUGUUAGAGAAGAACAAGGAUGAGAGUAACUGUUCAUCCCUUGACGGUAUCUAACCAGAAAGCCACGGCUAACUACGUGCCAGCAGCCGCGGUAAUACGUAGGUGGCAAGCGUUGUCCGGAUUUAUUGGGCGUAAAGCGAGCGCAGGCGGUUUCUUAAGUCUGAUGUGAAAGCCCCCGGCUCAACCGGGRAGGGUCAUUGGAAACUGGGAGACUUGAGUGCAGAAGAGGAGAGUGGAAUUCCAUGUGUAGCGGUGAAAUGCGUAGAUAUAUGGAGGAACACCAGUGGCGAAGGCGGCUCUCUGGUCUGUAACUGACGCUGAGGCUCGAAAGCGUGGGGAGCAAACAGGAUUAGAUACCCUGGUAGUCCACGCCGUAAACGAUGAGUGCUAAGUGUUGGAGGGUUUCCGCCCUUCAGUGCUGCAGCUAACGCAUUAAGCACUCCGCCUGGGGAGUACGACCGCAAGGUUGAAACUCAAAGGAAUUGACGGGGGCCCGCACAAGCGGUGGAGCAUGUGGUUUAAUUCGAAGCAACGCGAAGAACCUUACCAGGUCUUGACAUCCUUUGACCACUCUAGAGAUAGAGCUUCCUUCGGGGGCAAAGUGACAGGUGGUGCAUGGUUGUCGUCAGCUCGUGUCGUGAGAUGUUGGGUUAAGUCCCGCAACGAGCGCAACCCUUAUUGUUAGUUGCCAUCAUUCAGUUGGGCACUCUAGCAAGACUGCCGGUGACAAACCGGAGGAAGGUGGGGAUGACGUCAAAUCAUCAUGCCCCUUAUGACCUGGGCUACACACGUGCUACAAUGGGAAGUACAACGAGUCGCGAAGUCGCGAGGCUAAGCUAAUCUCUUAAAGCUUCUCUCAGUUCGGAUUGUAGGCUGCAACUCGCCUACAUGAAGCCGGAAUCGCUAGUAAUCGCGGAUCAGCACGCCGCGGUGAAUACGUUCCCGGGCCUUGUACACACCGCCCGUCACACCACGAGAGUUUGUAACACCCGAAGUCGGUGAGGUAACCUUUUGGAGCCAGCCGCCUAAGGUGGGAUAGAUGAUUGGGGUGAAGUCGUAACAAGGUAGCCGUAUCGGAAGGUGCGGCUGGAUCACCUCCUUUCU
rnacentral:rRNA from 1 species